rnacentral:lncRNA from 1 species
AAAAUGAGGGCAGAGAAGGAAUGUUUACUGAGUACCUACUGCCAGCCAGACCAUACCAGUACUUUUACAUUGAUUUAAAAUUUAAUCCUCACAAAAGCAGAUACUAUUAUUGUGAAAAAAUAGAUUAUAGAAAAGAAGCUACUUUUGAAGUAAAGAUUGAUUUAGUCCUACAGGAAAAUAAUGACACAUGCAUCAUAAUACACAGGACCUGAGAUCUUCAACACGUGAUCUGAGAACACCAGCACCCGAAACACAUUUUUCUUAUUUAAAGUUCUCUUUUCUGGUCUCCACGUUAAUAUUACUGGAUCAGAAUUUCUGGAAUGAGGCCCAGACUAUACAUUUUUACCCAAAUUGUCCAGGUGCUUCUUAUGCAUACCAAAGUUUGAGAAACACUGCUUUUGAUAAUCUCCAUCAAUAGUUGCCUCUUUCCCUAACAGAUCCAGAAACUUCCCCUUAACUGGCUCUGAAAUUUGGCUCCUAUUCCUCAAUAUCAUCUACAAAUUUCACUUAGAGGUUACUUAUAACCCCCUAAAUGGCCUUUUCCCAGUACCUAUCCUUCCUGACGUCUUUGUAGCAUAAAAGAAUAGUCAUGUCAUAAAGCAUUGAACUUGUGAACCUUCAGUUAUGCUCACUUGGCCAAAGACAAAGGAAAGAAAAUGACAACAUAAGCAGAUGAUUUAUGUACCAUUCCAGUCAAUGACCUCUGCUUCAAACAGGCAUCAGAUGGGAUACUUGAACCCACCACCAUCCAGUAGGUCUCUCAUACUGUGAGCUACUAGCUCACUGAGUGUGAGUCCAGUGUUGAAAACUCUGUGUUUUACAUUCAACAUGAUCCCUACAUAAAAUUCAAUUAUGUCUUAUGGAUUGGGGAAGGAAGGAAGGAAGGAGAGAAGGAAAGAAGGAAGGAAAGAAGUAUGCAAUCCAAUUUGGGGAAGAAAAUAAAACUUGUGUUGAAUUUUUAUAGAAAACCUGUGUGUCAAUAUCUAAUGUGGCACUUCUAUAAAGGCUUUUGUAAAAUAGUUUCAAUUUCAUGCCAUUUUCAACUUAUGUCAUGAAUAAAGAAUCUA